UGCCUGCUCCAAUAAGCUGCUAUUACUUUCUUCUAAUACAAAGUAUUUCUAUUAGAAAAUAGAGGCAGAGGCAUCUUUUCUUGGGAAACUGCAACUAUAAAAACACCUGUGGAUCAUCAUUACACAUAUCUGAACUUAUUCAGCAUGAAUGGAAUCUGCUACAUUGAUCACUAUUAAGAGGACCUGGGUUCAAGUUCUAGCUCCCACAUGGCAACUUACAACUGUCUGUAACUCCUGUUCCGGAUGAUCUGACACCUUUACAAAGGCAUUCAGGUAACAAUCCACUGAUCUCUAUGAAUUAGUGGCCAGCCUGGUUUACAGAGUGAAUUCCAGGACAGGCAGAGCUGCAUGAUAACCACGCCUCUCUGCCUUCCUCCUGCUAAUUGCCAUGCCUCUCUA